AAGUUCUUACUUUUCUGAUAUAAGAGCAAGAAACCCAAGAUGUUAUUCCAAAACCAUAUUGCACAAAAUUACGAGUUCAUCUAAUGGUCACAUCAUUUAUGGCACAGAAGCGACUACAAACUGGGCAAUGUAAGAUAGCUUUUGCAUAAUUUGGUUCAUUUGCUCUUAUAUCAGAAAAGUAAGAACUUUUGAGUUCCACUGCCAAGUUGGUGUGACUGGUCAUGUGAAUUUUGCAUAAAUUAUGUCCUCUUAAUCUUCGAAAAUGUUCCAGUCU
rnacentral:misc_RNA from 1 species